CGAACGGGUGAGUAAUACAUAAGUAACCUGCCCUAGACAGGGGGAUAACUAUUGGAAACGAUAGCUAAGACCGCAUAGGUACGGACACUGCAUGGUGACCGUAUUAAAAGUGCCUCAAAGCACUGGUAGAGGAUGGACUUAUGGCGCAUUAGCUGGUUGGCGGGGUAACGGCCCACCAAGGCGACGAUGCGUGCCGACCUGAGAGGGUGACCGGCCACACUGGGACUGAGACACGGCCCAGACUCCUACGGGAGGCAGCAUG
rnacentral:rRNA from 1 species